CCGGCACGGGUGAGUAACACGUAUCCAACCUGCCGUCUACUCUUGGACAGCCUUCUGAAAGGAAGAUUAAUACAAGAUGGCAUCAUGAGUCCGCAUGUUCACAUGAUUAAAGGUAUUCCGGUAGACGAUGGGGAUGCGUUCCAUUAGAUAGUGGGCGGGGUAACGGCCCACCUAGUCUUCGAUGGAUAGGGGUUCUGAGAGGAAGGUCCCCCACAUUGGAACUGAGACACGGUCCAA
rnacentral:rRNA from 1 species